CCUACGGGGGGCAGCAGUGGGGAAUAUUGGGCAAUGGGCGCAAGCCUGACCCAGCAACGCCGCGUGAAGGAAGAAGGCUUUCGGGUUGUAAACUUCUUUUCUCAGGGACGAAGAAAGUGACGGUACCUGAGGAAUAAGCCACGGCUAACUACGUGCCAGCAGCCGCGGUAAUACGUAGGUGGCAAGCGUUAUCCGGAUUUACUGGGUGUAAAGGGCGUGUAGGCGGGGAAGCAAGUCAGAUGUGACAACCACGGGCUCAACCUGUGGCCUGCAUUUGAAACUGUUUUUCUUGAGUACUGGAGAGGCAGACGGAAUUCCUAGUGGAGCGGUGGAAUGCGUAGAGAGUAGGAGGAACACCAGUGGCGAAGGCGGUCUGCUGGACAGCAACUGACGCUGAGGCGCGAAAGCGUGGGGAGCAAACAGGAUUAGAUACCCGGGUAGUC
rnacentral:rRNA from 1 species